GCACUCGUUAGCUAUGGUUAAUGUGACAACUGAUAGACGCCAUUUCCUUAGAGACAUUAAGGUAAACGAUCCCACUAGGUUUAUUGAAAUUUAAUGGAGUUAUCAGCAUGCGAGUCGCUGUUACUCCUGUGCAAAGCUGUUCAUGCAUCGGGAAUUUAUGGCAUCAGCAUUGACUUACCUUCUUCCAAUAAACGUGGGGAAUCGAGUCGAGCUGCUGCGAGUGCUCCCGCAGGAACUCUCAAGAUCACUGUUUAUGCCGAUGAGCCUGCUCCAGUAACACGAAUGUAUGUAUACCUACGAUAGAAUCCACAGGGUUCUGGUAAUCGAGAAGGUAAUUUUGCAACAGUUACUACCACCUGCCAGUAGUAGAUACUACGUGGAUGCUUUGUUUUUUGAUAUACUAUAAAAGAGGCACAAGAAAUAUGCGAUUUGAGUACACCGAACGAACCAUUGGUUGAAACAGGUGGGGAGGAAGUAUUCAUUUUGGAAGAUAAAUUUAGCUGUUCCAAAGGUGGCAGGUGUCCAUGGGUAGGAUCAAGACGUCUUUCGAAAAUCGUCCCUUUUUAACACUAAACUGUUAAAGAAGAAAGGUAGAGCUUAUAUGAGCAUAACAUAACCUCUAUUCAGAGUGGGUACUCAGUGGUCAGCCAUAAGAGAUCCAGAUGUACCUUUACAGCUUGUAGACAGCCAGGGACAUUCUAUUGGCGCAAUUAGCAAAUCAGGACUGCGUAUGAAAAUUAUUACAUUACUAAUUUCUCCUAAAGCGAUUAGAUAGCCAUCCUUCCUGGCUGGUGACAAAUUAGUCGGAAUAAUAACUAUGCUUACUGGACUUUACUAGGAUGAAAGGACGUUACAGCAGAGGAGAAAGAGGAGAGGAUUAGCGCAUGUAGCCGAGACGUUUGCAUUGGCCUAGUGCCUAGAAGUGUUCGCGGGUUAAAUUAAUUACCUGGUUCUUCUAUGUAACGGGUCUUUAGCUGUUGCAGCGAACCGUACAACGACGAUCUUCAUGCCGAUUUUAUCAGAUUUUAUUGGAGAUUUACAGUUAGAUAUACUAGGAAUUUUAUAAUGAUUUUAUGCAAGGGAUGCUUCGCGCACUAACGUAUGAAUGGAGAUAAAAAAUAUUCAACUUUCUAAUCGUACCCUAUUGGGAAUAUGCUAUAAUUAUUCUUGAGGUAUUUUAAAAGUCUAUAUGACUUCCGCAUUUCAAAUAUCUGUUCAAAAGUGCCAGACUGCUUGGCAUAGAUGGGUGGUAAUGCCAUGAGUCGAUUAUGGAGUCGCACUAUAAUUAAUGCAUAAAAGAUCCUGUACAUUCUCGUGGUGCGCCGAGUAUAUCUACGUGGGCGCAUCGUAGCUUCUACAAAUACACUGUACGAAGGUGUUGAUAUAAUUUAUGAUUACGCGUACACACAGGGAAAAUGAUUCCUAACGAGACUUCUCCAUAGACAAAUGACUUGGAGAUUUUAGCCAGGUAAAGGAACAAAAUUUCAAAAUAAAAUAAGAAGUCAGCUUAAGAAUCACACAGAUUUCCUAGUGCGAUGACUGCAGGUACUUUGCUGUUUAUUUAAGUGAAUCUAUGUAACCACUUUCAAUGGAUUGCAACGAUCAUGGGUUAACACGUCUUUUCCUAUGGGAACUGUUAUUUAAGGAUGCUCGCCUAAACGAUCCUGCAAAUGGCGAGGGACAUUAUAACUGUCUACGUACGUUAGACACUUCUAGCUAAGAAAAAUUAGCCUAGUCGUAUAACUAUAUACCGAUAAUAUAUCUAUAUAUUUUUCAAGACACGCGCCAUUAGUUCAAACCAGGAUACCGUGUUACGUGUGUUGCCUAGGUUCUUGAAUCGACAUGGGAUCUUCUCUGGAUCCUGUAUACAGAGAAGGAACCUGAAGUAUUCAAACACAUUCCCGGCGUCGUCCACGGCGUGUUUUGACUUUUGGCAAAACAGGACAUUAAGUCGAAGAAUGGAAGGAUCCCGAGGACGUUAUCUCGAUCUGAGCAACUUAAUCAAUGGCCAUCGAACAUCUACCGUGUAGGCGUCGUCGGCCUCCUCUGUGCUAUACGGACCCGAAGAACCAGCAUCCCAUGCGAUUCCUCCGGGUACCUCUGGACAUAUUAUAUAUCCAGGGUCGACAACACACACGAGACCUGGAUCGAAAUUUCAUUCUAAGAGCGUCAUCGCUUUGUUAUUUCCUACGGACACCUUUCUGUCCCUCUGGCGGAUAUGUUUGGCGACAGUCGCGUGUAUGAAAUUCUUCAGGAAACCACGUGACAGCUCGAGCGUCACCUUAAGGCAAUACGUGCAGUCUACAGUAUUCUAGAUCCCUUCGAAAUUCCAUUUUCAAUGUCCUACCCGAUGGCGGUUCCGAAUUCUCUCAAUUUUUAUGGUGCUACGCCGAAACCAGUUUGCCGGCGGUUCGGUCAGUUUCAAGAACUUGACAUGGAGUAUUGACGCGCUACAUGAUCCCGGAAAGCGCCCUCGGAUCGGAUCAAAGAGACAGGCGAACGCAGACACGGACGGACAGCCGUACGGCUGGACAGCUCCCUAAAAAUUACAUAGCAGCUAAUGAGCCGCUCAACUUGGAAACGAGAGGACUUGCGCCCGACUGGAUAUACACGUGACUAUGGAAUAAAGAAAAAUAUAUGCAAGUCCGUUAAUACCUGUAUAGUUACACCCACGCAAAUGAAGAAUUAUGCGAGAUUUAUACAUACUUUAUGGACGUUACUUUCAUCAACUACUUACACCGCGCUACUGAUUCUUUAUCAGUAAGGAUAUAACGGGUGACCUGGAAAUUAUAUUCGGCCUGUGUAUACAUAUACAUUCAUAAGGAUCCCAAACUACCAUACAACUUUUGUUACGUCCCUGAUGGUGAAUUCCGGUAGCACGACCCGUAAAAUCCAGGUAAAAUAUGAGACACGCGUAUUACAUAAAGGCAUUGACAACGGACCAAGGUGGAACGAUGAGAGCCCCAUAAACGGCUUCUUACCUUCAGGUGUGUAAAUACAAAUGCAGGGAUCUACACAGUGGCAGGAUAUUGCAGUAUCGGCAGUCCGAUUAGAUUUUGAAAACGGGAUUCACGUGGCGAAUAAAGUGACUCGUGGGACGCUGUGAAAACGUGUCCAUUAAUCUGGCACACCUACGCCGAGGGAAUGCUUAAGAGAGAGGAAAAAAAAAAGGGGGUAAGAAAGAAUCCUGCUAAUGGAAUGGAAAAAUUAAUCGCGCUCCCUACUGGACUCUAAUGCACUGACGAAGUUGAAGUGCGUGAAAAAGGUGAAGACGAUAUCCAGUCGAAUAUAGGGAAGAGUGGGAAGAUGCUGGAGAGAGAGAAAAAGGAGAGGAACGAGGUAAAAAGAAAAAGGGUCCGGCUGUGUUGUUGCUAUAAGCUGGCACUGCGGCGACCAAGCUCGAUUCUUCGGGUACGAGACGAGACGCCGGGCGACAACUAAUUAGGCCUAAAAACCCGACGAGUGCCUUCGUAGUCUGCCGCCACGGGACUUGGCCUGCACUUCACUCCGUGAGAGAAGCCCAAAGCCACUCUCAAUGGAUUGACCUGACUUGAUUUUCCGUAUUUCUUUUUCUUUUUCAAUCUGUUUACCUGGUCUUUAGAGAUUUUUGCUCCGACGAUACUCCCAGAGUCGAUCACUUUCUAAAGGACACCUCCUGGCACGUGAACCUGAAGUAUGGUACCUAACCUCAUUGCGUAUCUACACCCAUACUGAUUCCUCGGUAAAUUAUUCCACUGACAAUUCCCUGCUGUUAUCCAACUUUACCAUGAAGUUUGGAUAGGUAGGCAUGACUAUCAGCAGCAACGAUACGCUAUCAUGAACCGACAGAGGAUUCCGUCAACAAGAGGAACGAAACGGUCGGACGCGGACCAAGAGUAACCGAUCUCGUUCUCCAAGAACCAAUCGCGUUCUUCCUCAUCAACCGGAGGAACCAGUGACGUUUCGUCAAUGGAGAACAAUGGUACCAGGAUUGGAGCAUAGACCAUGGUAUUACUCCCUGUCCUCUCUGUCUACAACUACAAUUUUAAUGGCGGUCAGAGCGGUUGUCAGGGGGACCCAUAUAAUAAAGUACGAGCUCCGCCCGCAUGCACAACACUUGUCACAAAGCAAGAACGGCCGGACGAACGGGUGGAACGGGUGGACGGAACAUCGUGCUGCGAUAAGCGAUACCAAAAGCGAGCGAGUAAACCACGAUAGGGAUAGCAUUGUUCCGUGGCGCAAGAGCUGACUGUUGUUUUAUGAGUACUCGAUACUAUGUAUCCACCUACCUACCUUACGUAGCAAUAGUUUCUUACCGUAACAAGGGUAGAGAGGAAAUUUAGAGACUCCAUUGGACGAUCCUGUAUAUUCAAUAUAAAUACCAUAAUCUGGCCUAACGUACAAUUAGACAGAAUAUUUGGCGGAAGCACUGAUACUGUUUAGUAAAAAAAUAAAAAAAAUAAAUUGUAAUUAUGCAUAGAAUAACAUUGUGCCUCGUAGGGGUACCGACACUUGCCGAUAGACACUGCUGAUUAUCGGUAUGCAUAUUCUGCGGGAAAUUGCUUAGAUAAAGUCAUUUAGCGAAACGAUGCCGGUGCCGCCAUGGAUCGUUGAAUCUUUGUUGAUAAUGAGUAUCUCUCUUUUUUGUUUGAGAUUAUUAUUCAAGCUUUUUGUCAUACCAUUUGACCGUACCUUACUUUGGUUUUUAAGUGCUCGAGUUUAUACGGUGAUUCGAGGUAAUAAUUUUCUGGCGAUACGUGUUAAUUGGUUAAUUUAAAAGAAAAAAAUGAAAGAGUAAUGGACCACGCGAUACAAUUUUACUUUUGCGAUAAUGACGGAAUAGAUAAGAGGCCAAACGUGUUAGCAGCGUAUCGCUUGCGCCAGAUGGGAGCUGCUAAUGUCAUGCCAUGCAGUAAAAUAUUUCAUACUCUCGAUUGCAAUAACUGUUCCCGAUAGUCGCCUUAUAGGCUGCAUCACCGCGUGAUUUAUCGAUCCUUCGUCGUUUCGAAUUAUUCAUGUUAAUUCGCGCGUAUUGCAUCUCGCUAUACGCAACCGUUGCUUGGUUAGAUUUAUGGUCGUCAUCGUAGAUGGCUGAUCGUGACAAAAUUUAUAUGGAAUGCGAUGCAAAGAAAUUGAUAAACGAGCGUUACCAUAUGAGAAACAAUGUCCAAUGUAUAGAACGAAACAUAUGACAACAGUGUACAGACGCCUUGGUGGUUCGGAGGUAGAAGAAAAAUUCUAUUGGUCGCUAAGUAAAUAGUGUUUUAUCAGCUUUAUAAUUUAUAUAUACUUAGAUAUAAUAAUUAAUUAUCGCAUUAAUAUUGUCGCGGCUCGACGAGUCUGUAGGAUUGUUAAAUAUUGAAUGAACUGAGCUAUCGAGUAAUUCUCUUAGCUGCACGUGGCUGGGGUCGAUCGAGACAGGAUUGGCCGGUCCAUAACCACUAAGCAGGAAGGACUUAACGAGCUAGAGACCUAGGU